rnacentral:rRNA from 1 species
GACGAACGCUGGCGGCGUGCUUAACACAUGCAAGUCGUACGAUGAAGCGGUGCUUGCACCGUGGAUUAGUGGCGAACGGGUGAGUAAUACGUGAGUGACCUACCUUUGACUCUGGGAUAAGCCUGGGAAACUGGGUCUAAUACCGGAUACGACCAAUCUCUGCAUGGGGUGUUGGUGGAAAGCGUUAUGGAGUGGUUUUAGAUGGGCUCACGGCCUAUCAGCUUGUUGGUGAGGUAAUGGCUUACCAAGGCGACGACGGGUAGCCGGCCUGAGAGGGUGACCGGCCACACUGGGACUGAGACACGGCCCAGACUCCUACGGGAGGCAGCAGUGGGGAAUAUUGCACAAUGGGCGCAAGCCUGAUGCAGCGACGCCGCGUGAGGGAUGACGGCCUUCGGGUUGUAAACCUCUGUUAGCAUCGAAGAAGCGAAAGUGACGGUAGGUGCAGAGAAAGCGCCGGCUAACUACGUG